AUUCAAGAGUGUGGGGCGAGCGGCCUAGUGCUGCGAAGCAAUUGGAAGUGGUUCCAAGAAAAGCCUCUAAGCUUCAGUCAUACGAGACCGUACCGCAAACCGACACAGGUGGGCGAGAUGAGUAUUCUAAGGCGCUUGAGAGAACUCGGGAGAAGGAACUCGGCAAAUUGGUACCGUAACUUCGGGAUAAGGUACGCCCUGGUAGCUUGACUGGCCUGCGCCAGAAGGGUGAAGGGGUUGCAAUAAAAUGGUGGCUGCGACUGUUUAAUAAAAACACAGCACUCUGCAAACACGAAAGUGGACGUAUAGGGUGUGACGCCUGCCCGGUGCCGGAAGAUUAAAUGAUGGGGUGCAAGCUCUUGAUUGAAGUCCCGGUAAACGGCGGCCGUAACUAUAACGGUCCUAAGGUAGCGAAAUUCCUUGUCGGGUAAGUUCCGACCUGCACGAAUGGCGUAACGAUGGCCACACUGUCUCCUCCCGAGACUCAGCGAAGUUGAAGUGUUUGUGAUGAUGCAAUCUCCCCGCGGCUAGACGGAAAGACCCCAUGAACCUUUACUGUAGCUUUGCAUUGGACUUUGAACCGAUCUGUGUAGGAUAGGUGGGAGGCUUUGAAGCGUGGACGCUAGUCUACGUGGAGCCGUCCUUGAAAUACCACCCUGGUUUGUUUGAGGUUCUAACCUUGGCCCGUGAAUCCGGGUCGGGGACAGUGCAUGGUAGGCAGUUUGACUGGGGCGGUCUCCUCCCAAAGUGUAACGGAGGAGUUCGAAGGUACGCUUGGUACGGUCGGACAUCGUACCUAAAGUGCAAUGGCAAAAGCGUGCUUAACUGCGAGACCGACAAGUCGAGCAGGUGCGAAAGCAGGACAUAGUGAUCCGGUGGUUCUGAAUGGAAGGGCCAUCGCUCAACGGAUAAAAGGUACUCUGGGGAUAACAGGCUGAUACCGCCCAAGAGUUCAUAUCGACGGCGGUGUUUGGCACCUCGAUGUCGGCUCAUCUCAUCCUGGGGCUGUAGCCGGUCCCAAGGGUAUGGCUGUUCGCCAUUUAAAGAGGUACGUGAGCUGGGUUUAAAACGUCGUGAGACAGUUUGGUCCCUAUCUGCCGUGGGCGUUGGAAUCUUGACGGGGGCUGCUCCUAGUACGAGAGGACCGGAGUGGACGUACCGCUGGUGUACCUGUUGUCUCGCCAGAGGCAUCGCAGGGUAGCUAUGUACGGAAGAGAUAACCGCUGAAAGCAUCUAAGCGGGAAACUCGCCUGAAGAUGAGGAUUCCCUGGCGGCUUGACCGCCUUGAAGGGUCGUUCGAGACCAGGACGUUGAUAGGCUGGGUGUGGAAGCGCAGUAAUGCGUUAAGCUAACCAGUACUAAUUGCCCGUAAGGCUUGAUC
rnacentral:rRNA from 1 species